rnacentral:rRNA from 1 species
UACGUAGGGGGCAAGCGUUGUUCGGAAUUACUGGGCGUAAAGGGCGCGUAGGCGGCACGGCAAGUCGGGAGUGAAAGCCCGGGGCUCAACCCCGGAGGGUCUUCCGAAACUGCCGGGCUAGAGUGCGGAAGAGGCAACCGGAAUUCCCAGUGUAGCGGUGAAAUGCGUAGAUAUUGGGAAGAACACCGGAGGCGAAGGCGGGUUGCUGGGCCGACACUGACGCUGAGGCGCGAAAGCGUGGGGAGCAAACAGG